ensembl:snoRNA U3 Small nucleolar RNA U3
AAGAUCAUACUUUUAGGGAUCAUUUCUAUAGUGUGCAUCUUGAAAACGUCAUCAAAAUAUGACGAAUCCCCAGAGGAUUGUUCUUGGAUUUCCAUUCGGAGAUCUAGGAGAAAUGA